UACGUAGGGGGGCUAGCGUUGUCCGGAAUCAUUGGGCGUAAAGCGCGUGUAGGCGGUCCGGUAAGUCCGCUGUGAAAGUCGGGGGCUCAACCCUCGAAUGCCGGUGGAUACUGUCGGGCUAGAGUGCGGAAGAGGCGAGUGGAAUUCCUGGUGUAGCGGUGAAAUGCGCAGAUAUCAGGAGGAACACCUAUUGCGAAGGCAGCUCGCUGGGACGUAACUGACGCUGAGACGCGAAAGCGUGGGGAGCAAACAGG
rnacentral:rRNA from 1 species